AGACUGAACGCUGGCGGCAUGCCUAACACAUGCAAGUCGAACGGCAGCAUGUCCCCGCAAGGGGAUGAUGGCGAGUGGCGGACGGGUGAGGAAUACAUCGGAAUCUACCCCGUUGUGGGGGAUAACCCAUCGAAAGGUGGGCUAAUACCGCAUAAGACGGAGACGUGAAAGCGGGGGACCUUCGGGCCUCGCGCGAUGGGAUGAGCCGAUGUCGGAUUAGCUAGUUGGCGGGGUAAGAGCCCACCAAGGCGACGAUCCGUAGCUGGUCUGAGAGGAUGAUCAGCCACACUGGGACUGAGACACGGCCCAGACUCCUACGGGGGGCAGCAGUGGGGAAUAGUUGGACAAUGGGCGCAAGCCUGAUCCAGCAAUGCGCGUGUGUGAAGAGCCUUCGGUUGUAAGCUACUUUAGCGGUAGACGAAAGUCGACGGCGAAGUAACCCGGCGUACAGUGACCGGUACCGAGGAAUAACGCACCGGACUAACUUCGCCGCGAGCAGCC
rnacentral:rRNA from 1 species